rnacentral:rRNA from 1 species
UACGUAGGGGGCAAGCGUUGUCCGGAUUUAUUGGGCGUAAAGAGCGUGUAGGCGGCUUGGUAGGUCCGCUGUGAAAACUCGAGGCUCAACCUCGAGAUGUCGGCGGAAACCACUUGGCUAGAGUCCGGAAGAGGAGAGUGGAAUUCCCGGUGUAGCGGUGAAAUGCGCAGAUAUCGGGAAGAACACCUGUGGCGAAGGCGGCCCCCUGGGCCGCGCCUGACGCUGAGACGCGAAGGCUAGGGGAGCGAACGGG